AGCGGCGGACGGGUGAGUAACGCGUAGGCAACAUGCCCUUGACACAGGGAUAGCCUCGGGAAACCGGGAUUAAAACCUGAUAACGCCAAACAGUCACAUGGCUGUUUGGCCAAAGAUUUAUCGGUCAAGGAUGGGCCUGCGUCUGAUUAGUUUGUUGGUGGGGUAACGGCCUACCAAGACGACGAUCAGUAGCCGACCUGAGAGGGUGAUCGGCCACAUUGGAACUGAGACACGGUCCAAACUCCUACGGGAGGCAGCAGUGGGGAAUAUUGCACAAUGGGCGAAAGCCUGAUGCAGCAACGCCGCGUGAGCGAUGAAGGCCUUUGGGUCGUAAAGCUCUGUCCUUGGGGAAGAAACAAAUGACGGUACCCAAGGAGGAAGCCCCGGCUAACUACGUGCCAGCAGCCGCGGUAAUACGUAGGGGGCAAGCGUUAUCCGGAAUUAUUGGGCGUAAAGAGUACGUAGGUGGUCUUUUAAGCGCAGGGUUUAAGGCAAUGGCUUAACCAUUGUUCGCCCUGUGAACUGGAAGACUUGAGUGUAGGAGAGGAAAGUGGAAUUCCUAGUGUAGCGGUGAAAUGCGUAGAUAUUAGGAGGAACAUCAGUGGCGAAGGCGACUUUCUGGACUAUUACUGACACUGAGGUACGAAAGCGUGGGGAGCAAACAGGAUUAGAUACCCUGGUAGUCCACGCCGUAAACGAUGAGCACUAGGUGUCGGGGUCGCAAGGCUUCGGUGCCGUAGUUAACGCAUUAA
rnacentral:rRNA from 1 species